UUUCGUUGUUGCUCAAUUUGGUUUGGAACUGGUUCAUUAACCUGUUCUUGAACUUCAUUUUGUUCUUGAAAUUCAACCGUUGAAGAUGGCAAUUUCCUUGGCAACUUCAAAACAUCCAAUAAAGGUUCUUCAACUUGGGUCUCAUGAUCUUCAUAUUGUGUUGAUUCAUUAGUUUCUUGAUCUUCAUCAAGUUAUAUCUCUCCAUUAUAAUUUCCUUCCAAAAGGAAUUCCCUUUCCAAAAAGGUUGCUCCUCUAG
rnacentral:lncRNA from 1 species